rnacentral:rRNA from 6 species
AAAUUGAAGAGUUUGAUCAUGGCUCAGAUUGAACGCUGGCGGCAGGCCUAACACAUGCAAGUCGAACGGUAACAGGAAGCAGCUUGCUGCUUUGCUGACGAGUGGCGGACGGGUGAGUAAUGUCUGGGAAACUGCCUGAUGGAGGGGGAUAACUACUGGAAACGGUGGCUAAUACCGCAUAAC